AGGCCGUAAAUUUUGCCACUAUUUGAAAAAAAAAUAUGUCCCACAUUUUGACUGCAUAUAUAAAAGACUAAUGCUAGUAAUUUGUUACUAAGGUACUCAUAAUAUAUUUUGUAGCUCUUAUCUCUACAUAAUUUAAUUUCAAAAGUUCAAACACUUCAAUACUUUAACUUCUAGAGUGUGUUCAACUUGGCCAGUCCUCCAAAUUUUGCAAAAAUCGCGUUGUCUUUUUUAUCAUCCAAAUACUAGAGAACUACAAAACUCGUAGUAUAUUUAUUGAAUGUCAAGUUUACAAGAACUUAACCUACAGAACGCAAAACUAAGCAGCCAAUUAAUAAUAUGAGAUUAUUUAAAAUAAGUAGAUUUAAUUUUUUUAUCGCAAUUUAAAUGUUUGUCCCCGUAUUUUUGCUUAUAUGUUACAAUUUUGUAUGUUACCACAAUUUCACCUUUAAUUAAGGUAAAAUAUUUUGGUAAUAUUUUGUAUCGAUACUGGCAACACUUAAGUGUCCAUGGACAAAAAGAAAAAAAAAACCAUUUUGUUUACUGUGGUGGGUUUGACAAAAAGUGAGUGCAGGUUUGUGUCGUCAUUCGGGAUUUAUUCGAUUUCAAAGAAGGAAGCGAGCAGAACGAUGAAGAACUUGGCAGCACGGUUAGAGAGAAUAAUUAAAAUGAAGGGAAUUAUUUAAGUUUCAACAUAAAAGAUUCGUUAUGGUUAGAUAAUUUGAAAGAAAAACGUGGAAGUAUUAUAUUGGAUUUGUUGAGAUCAUAGAAUUUAAAAGUGACGAAACAUAUUACAAAAUAAUUUUUUUUUAAAUGUUAAGAUUUCAAAUAAUUCUGUAAAAUUCUUAGUGCAAAGAAAGUUAGAUCUUGAUUCUGUGACCACAAUUUCUAUAGUAUAAAAGAUAAAUUUGAUUCAGUUAGAGACAGAUUCAAAAGAAUAUUAUCUGCAAAAUGAUGAAGAUACUGUAUUUUUUAUUUAAAUAUUUUAAAUCAUUUGUUAGUUGACAUAAGUAAAAGUGGUUACCUAGUUCCUUUUUUGUGAUUUUAUUGAUUAAUUAGUACACAUUGUGUUUUAAGUACCUAUUUAAUGAAUAGACAUUUUAGAAGAUUUCAUUGUUUUUUAUUUGCUUCUUCUUUUUCUUAGUCGUAUUCCUCAUGGCUGAGAAGUCGUGAUCAUUAUAUGGAUUUCAAUGAAACACACACAACGACUUUCUUGGCAAUAUUAAUAGAGUGGUUUGCCAUUGCCUUCUCCAUUUCACACACUAACUGAUAAAUAAUCGACUAAUGUGACUUCCUCACGAUGUUUUCCUUCACCGGAAGCAAGUGGUGGUCAUGAAAAGUACUAAACGUAAGUCAGAUUAGCAUACAAACUCAUGUGGCUCGAGUAGGAUUCGAACCCGGGACAUUUCGAUCACCAGGCGGACGUCUUAACCACUAGACCACCACCGCUUCAUUUCAUUUAUAUGCUUAGUUCUUACAUAAGGUUAAUAGAUACCCUGGCCCGUACGCCCGUACAUACAUUUUGUUUUGGAACAUUGCAUUAACUUCGUUUGUGUUUCUCAGAAUACAUUUGCUUCUCCAAUUCCUAUGGAAUUGUGCUUGCCAUUACAAUCGUACGUUAGUAUAAUUUUCAG